GAAAUGCGAUAAGUAAUGUGAAUUGCAGAAUUCCGUGAAUCAUCGAAUCUUUGAACGCACAUUGCACCCUCUGGUAUUCCGGGGGGCAUGCCUGUCCGAGCGUCAUUGCGAACCCCUCAAGCACGGCUUGUGUGAUGGGCCCUCCCGCGUCUUGGUCGUCAAGACGGGCCCGAAAUGCAGUGGCGGCUUCGCGGUUAUCCGAUCAGCCAGAGCGUAUGGGGACUUUCUCUCUGUCACACGCCCGCGGCGCGGACCGACGCCUGUCGACCUUCAUUCAUCGUUUUCUCGGUUGACCUCGGAUCAGGUAGGGAUACCCGCUGAACUUAAGC
rnacentral:misc_RNA from 1 species